UACGUAGGUGGCAAGCGUUAUCCGGAAUUACUGGGCGUAAAGCGCACGCAGGCGGUCUGUUAAGUUUGACGUGAAAGCUCCCGGCUUAACUGGGAGAGGUCGUUGAAGACUGGCAGACUUGAGGCGAUGAGAGGGGUGUAGAAUUCCCGGUGUAGUGGUGGAAUGCGUAGAUAUCGGGGGGAAUACCAGUGGCGAAGGCGCUACACUAGAACGGCUCUGACAGUGAGGGACGAAGCCCUGGGGCGCAAACCGG
rnacentral:rRNA from 1 species